UGCCCCAGUAACGGCGAGUGAAGCGGCAACAGCUCAAAUUUGAAAUCUGGCCCUCGCGGUCCGAGUUGUAAUUUGUAGAGGAUGCUUUUGGUGCGGUGCCUUCCGAGUUCCCUGGAACGGGACGCCAUAGAGGGUGAGAGCCCCGUCUGGUUGGAUGCCAAACCUCUGUAAAGCUCCUUCGACGAGUCGAGUAGUUUGGGAAUGCUGCUCAAAAUGGGAGGUAUAUGUCUUCUAAAGCUAAAUACCGGCCAGAGACCGAUAGCGCACAAGUAGAGUGAUCGAAAGAUGAAAAGCACUUUGAAAAGAGGGUUAAAUAGUACGUGAAAUUGUUGAAAGGGAAGCGUUUGUGACCAGACUUGGGCUCGGUGAAUCAUCCGGCGUUCUCGCCGGUGCACUUCGCCGGUCCAGGCCAGCAUCGGUUCGCUCGCGGGGGAUAAAGGCGUCGGGAAUGUGGCUCCUCGGAGUGUUAUAGCCCUUCGCACAAUACCCUGCGGUGGACCGAGGUUCGCGCAUCUGCAAGGAUGCUGGCGUAAUGGUCAUCAACGACCCGUCUUGAAACACGGACCAAGGAGUCGUCUUCGUAUGCGAGUGUUCGGGUGUCAAACCCCUACGCGUAAUGAAAGUGAACGGAGGUGAGAGCUACGGCGCAUCAUCGACCGAUCCUGAUGUUCUCGGAUGGAUUUGAGUAAGAGCAUACGGGGCCGGACCCGAAAGAAGGUGAACUAUGCCUGUAUAGGGUGAAGCCAGAGGAAACUCUGGUGGAGGCUCGCAGCGGUUCUGACGUGCAAAUCGAUCGUCAAAUAUGGGCAUGGGGGCGAAAGACUAAUCGAACCUUCUAGUAGCUGGUUUCCGCCGAAGUUUCCCUCAGGAUAGCAGUGUUGAACUCAGUUUUAUGAGGUAAAGCGAAUGAUUAGGGACUCGGGGGCGCUAUUUAGCCUUCAUCCAUUCUCAAACUUUAAAUAUGUAAGAAGCCCUUGUUGCUUAAUGAA
rnacentral:rRNA from 1 species